AGCGGAGGAAAAGAAACUAACAAGGAUUCCCCUAGUAACUGCGAGUGAAGCGGGAAAAGCUCAAAUUUAAAAUCUGGCGGUCUUUGGCUGUCCGAGUUGUAAUCUAGAGAAGUGUUAUCCGUGCUGGACCGUGUACAAGUCUUCUGGAAUGGAGCGUCAUAGAGGGUGAGAAUCCCGUCUUUGACACGGACUACCAGUGCUUUGUGAUGCGCUCUCAAAGAGUCGAGUUGUUUGGGAAUGCAGCUCAAAAUGGGUGGUAAAUUCCAUCUAAAGCUAAAUAUUGGCGAGAGACCGAUAGCGAACAAGUACCGUGAGGGAAAGAUGAAAAGAACUUUGGAAAGAGAGUUAAACAGUACGUGAAAUUGCUGAAAGGGAAACGCUUGAAGUCAGUCGCGUUGGCCUGGAAUCAACCUUGCUUUUGCUGGGCGUACUUCCUGGUCGACGGGUCAGCAUCAAUUUCGACCGUUGGAAAAAGUUCAGGGAAAUGUGGCAUCUUCGGAUGUGUUAUAGUCUCUGUUCGCAUACGACGAUUGGGAUUGAGGAACUCAGCACGCCGCAAGGCCGGGUCUUUGACCACGUACGUGCUUAGGAUGCUGGCAUAAUGGCUUUAAUCGACCCGUCUUGAAACACGGACCAAGGAGUCUAACAUGCCUGCGAGUGUUUGGGUGGAAAACCCGAGCGCGCAAUGAAAGUGAAAGUUGAGAUCCCUGUCGUGGGGAGCAUCGACGCCCGGACCUGACCUUUUGUGACGGCUCCGCGGUAGAGCAUGUAUGUUGGGACCCGAAAGAUGGUGAACUAUGCCUGAAUAGGGUGAAGCCAGAGGAAACUCUGGUGGAGGCUCGUAGCGAUUCUGACGUGCAAAUCGAUCGUCAAAUUUGGGUAUAGGGGCGAAAGACUAAUCG
rnacentral:rRNA from 1 species